rnacentral:rRNA from 1 species
UAGGGAAUCUUCCACAAUGGGCGCAAGCCUGAUGGAGCAACGCCGCGUGAGUGAUGAAGGCCUUCGGGUUGUAAAACUCUGUCUUCUGUGAAGAAACAGCCUGUGAGUGGAAAGCUCAGGCUUUGACGGUAACAGAGGAGGAAGCCACGGCUAACUACGUGCCAGCAGCCGCGGUAAUACGUAGGUGGCAAGCGUUGUCCGGAAUCACUGGGCGUAAAGCGCGCGCAGGCGGCGAUCUACGUCUGGGGUGAAAGCCCGGAGCUCAACUCCGGGACUGCCUUGGAUACGGGAUCGCUUGAGGAUUGGAGAGGCAAGGGGAAUUCCACGUGUAGCGGUGAAAUGCGUAGAGAUGUGGAGGAACACCUGUGGCGAAGGCGCCUUGCUGGCCAAUUUCUGACGCUGAGGCGCGAAAGCGUGGGGAGCAAACA